rnacentral:lncRNA from 1 species
AGUUUAUUAAAAGUGUAGCAUUACACUUGCGUCUUACAAAGAAAGGUUAGUAAUGCUAAGAAGAUAAAAAAAGCCUGAUAAUUCUUAUAACCCCCUUAUCUAAAAUUUCUUAAUGGUAUGUGAUUGCUUUGUAUUAGACAAUAAGUAACUCAAUAUUAAGUGAUUUGCUUUAGUUGCAGUUUCUAGGUGGUUGAAUGAGUAAGGAAUAUUGAUAGUGUGAUUCGGCUUGCAGAUAGGAAGGGAUUGAACAUGAACCAAUACUACCACCCAAAAAGAUAAGUAUCUUUUUAUACUUUACCAGAAUUUAAAUAUAUAGUAACUUACUGUUAUAUUAUGUUCUUUUGACAGGAAAAUAUGCGUAUUACAUGGUACAUCCAAAUGGAAAUUAAGAAGCAAAUUGAUGACAGCGACUAUUAAGAUAACUUUCUUCAGUGCAUUUAAUCAGUAA